CAUUUGAGUUCAGGGGUGUGAGUGCUCUAUUGUGUUCCCUAGAAAGCCCGGUUCUAAAAUAGAUGAAGAUGGAAAAAAAAUCCUUCUACCUGUAUGAGAUAGAUCAAACCUUGUGUGCUGAGAUGUGACAGUUGAUCAUUUUGGUCCUAUCUUAUACUCCAGGAUGCAGAGACUGUGACUUUGACUAGUUUACAGCAGGAUGGGUACAUCUUAGGCUCUAAUUCUUUCCUGCUAAAAGCUCACUUGUAUGAUUCAGAGAUGUCUUUGCCUUUGAAAUAAAUAAGGCCUUUAAGCUCCCUCUCAGAGGAGACAGUGUGGGGAGGCCUGGCUGCCUUCUCUGCAUAAAUAUUUCUGUCAAACUGGAUUCAGGCUGAGGUGGGUGAAACUGCUGCACCAACAGGGAGCCAUCGACUUCCAUCUCCUGCCAGGCAGUACUGCAUCACUGAGAUUUGUGUUGUUACUGUACUGUCAAAAAUAGCUGUGAGUGAGAGAAAGGGCUGAAAUGCUCCCAUGUGUUCACCAAGCAGGAGGACAGAGCAGUUAGGAGAAGGAGGGAGAUGCAGAUUUGUGACAGUGAACAGAAGAUGUGCAAGGAGGAACUGCCUUCCCAGUCUCGUGAAAGGGUGACCCCCAUGCACGAUGGAAGGAGGAAGGAUGACUUCACAGAUGUAGCUUAUUAUACUUCCUAUGCAAGGGAGUUAUGCUAGUUCCAGAAACAACACACAUUGUUUUGGUGGCUCUUAAGAAUAUGCAAGGGAGAAACAAAGACCUCAGAGCAUGGUUCUACCUGUUGCAGCUGCUGCAGAUCAAACUUGCAAAUGUGAAAAAAGCAUCAGCAGGUGUUUUGGAUCAUGAGAUUGGCAAAGGCUGGUCAUCCAGGCAAAGGCAGAUCCAGACACUGUGAAGUGAGCAUGAAGACAUGACUGUGUUUGUUGAGGCAGUGAAGGUACAUACUUCAGUUACAGACUAUUUUCUUCACUCACCCUAUUUUCAUUCCUUCUCUCCACUGAAUUUUACCUUCAGCUAAAGGGCAUGGGCCUAUAUAUAUGGUCAGUACACAUGACCAGAACUUUGGUGCCAGAGUCCUUUGUCCUUUAUCCAGCAGCAAAUCUGCUCAGCUCCAUGUGACGCAGCAGCACAGAGAUUCUUUGCUUUUGUUUCUAGUGUUUACACCAUAUGGAGGGGAAAAAAAAGUUAAAGGAAAAAUGCUCAUAAAACUAGAGCAGAGUUAUAUAAACAACCGAAAACCUGCAGGAGGAUCUGUCUGAGAUCUGACCUGGUCAUUUGUUUAAAGAGGAUGUUUACUCACACCAACCAUUGUGGUGACUGUGCUGUCCAGUUCUCCAUAGAGGAAAGUAAAUGGAGGAGGUUUUUGACUGUGAUUUCUUACUGUGGUGCAAAAAAUAGGUGGCCUUUGAACUACCCCAUUAUUACUUUUCUCUAAUAAAGAAUUGGUGAUUCAAACUGUAUCUAUGGGACACCCACGCAGAGCGCCCAGCUGGAAGAUUGAACAUGACCAAAGGGUCGGCUCAUCUGUGCAAGCUAUUGUGGGGAGGGAACUCCCUUGGGUGAAGGGCAGAGGUAAAAACCUAAUGCAUGAAAGAGAAUUUGGAAGAAUAGUGGUCUCACUGUGCUUUUGGAUCUUGACCUCCAAUAUAAACUCUCUAGACUGCUUGCCUUUCUAUUUUCUAGUGACUGUUUGAAUGGCACCUUUAGGUGGAAAAUACGUUUUCUUCUCAUUCUUGAAGAUAUUGAUCUAAGGGAAAAUCUUGCACAAAAGGAUUGGGAAACAGUUAGAAAAGUUAAAGUGUGUAAUAAAUUAGGGCUGAGAGAAUAUAAAAAAAGAAUUUAGCACAUCACUUGACAGAUAGGAAGUAAUUUAUGUAAAUUAAGGAAGUGGUGGUUGGAUUCAAUUGGUCUAAUUUAAACACUCUUUCUAAUUAUUUUUGGUAUGUAUACAGAGGAUUAUAUGAUGGUCAUUAUUCUGACAGAAGGGUUCUUCAUAUUUAAAUUUAAAUCCAUAAAUUAUUACCCUAUUACAAUGUAAACAUGCUGUGAUAACAAGUACCUGAUUAUGCAGACAGGUUAGUCCAGCUACUCUGGUGAACAGCUGUGUGCAUGUAUUUCAGAUAAUGAUUUUUUUUACAUCCUAAAAACCACAAGCAAGCCAUUGAAAGGUCAAGAGAUGCCUGACCCACAGGUGGGAGCUGCCUGUAAGGAGGUUUGCUGGCACUGAGUGCAGACCAGAGAGCAGAUGGGCUCUCACAGGUUUCCACUGAAAGGGGCCCUAGUGGCACCCAAAAGUACAGAGGGAAGAUGACACAAUUAACAAAAUUAACAAUUCCCCCUCCCUACAGUCUGGUGCUGCUAAUCCCAAGUUAAAACUCCUAUAACAGCAUCUUUGGAGAACCUUCCUCUU